rnacentral:rRNA from 1 species
GAUGAACGCUGGCGGCGUGCCUAAUACAUGCAAGUCGAGCGAACAGACGAGGCGCUUGCGCCUCUGACGUUAGCGGCGGACGGGUGAGUAACACGUGGAUAACCUACCUAUAAGACUGGGAUCACUUCGGGAAACCGGAGCUAACACCGGAUAAUAUAUUGAACCGCAUGGUUCAAUAGUGAAAGACGGUGUUGGGGGCACGUAUAGCUGGAUCCGCGCCGCAUUAGCUAGUUGGUAAGGUAACAGCUUACCAAGGCGAGGAUGCGUAGGCGACCGGUGAGGGUGAUCGGCCACCCUGGAACUUAGACGCCGUCCUUGCUCCUACGGUAGGCACCAGUAGGCAACCUUCCGCAAUGGUCGGAAGCCUUACGCAACGACGCCGCGUGUGUUAUGAAGGUCCUCCGAUCGUAAUGCUCUCUUAUUAGUUGUGAACAAAUUUGUACUUAACUAUGGCCGUCGUGACGGUACUUAGUCAGAAAGCCCCGGCUAACUACGUG